GAUGAACGCUGGCGGCGUGCCUAAUACAUGCAAGUCGAGCGAACAGACGAGGAGCUUGCUCCUCUGACGUUAGCGGCGGACGGGUGAGUAACACGUGGAUAACCUACCUAUAAGACUGGGAUAACUUCGGGAAACCGGAGCUAAUACCGGAUAAUAUAUUGAACCGCAUGGUUCAAUAGUGAAAGACGGUUUUGCUGUCACUUAUAGAUGGAUCCGCGCCGCAUUAGCUAGUUGGUAAGGUAACGGCUUACCAAGGCAACGAUGCGUAGCCGACCUGAGAGGGUGAUCGGCCACACUGGAACUGAGACACGGUCCAGACUCCUACGGGAGGCAGCAGUAGGGAAUCUUCCGCAAUGGGCGAAAUCCUGACGGAGCAACGCCGCGUGAGUGAUGAAGGUCUUCGGAUCGUAAAACUCUGUUAUUAGGGAAGAACAAUUGUGUAAGUAACUAUGCACGUCUUGACGGUACCUAAUCAGAAAGCCACGGCUAACUACGUG
rnacentral:rRNA from 1 species